UACGGGGGGGGCAAGCGUUGUUCGGAAUUACUGGGCGUAAAGGGCUCGUAGGCGGCCAACUAAGUCAGACGUGAAAUCCCUCGGCUUAACCGGGGAACUGCGUCUGAUACUGGAUGGCUUGAGUUUGGGAGAGGGAUGCGGAAUUCCAGGUGUAGCGGUGAAAUGCGUAGAUAUCUGGAGGAACACCGGCGGCGAAGGCGGCAUCCUGGACCAACACUGACGCUGAGGAGCGAAAGCCAGGGGAGCAAACGGG
rnacentral:rRNA from 1 species